AGCGUCGCCUCGUCCCGAGAGGAGGCGAAAUCUCAUCCCGAUUCGACCCCUGCGCCCACGCCCACGCCCACGCGAUUUUUCCCGUUGGAGCUAGCUGCACCAUUCCGCUGUCGCCUCCCGCCAAACAUUUCCGCUAGGGUUGUGCUUGGAGUCUGCUCGAGGACGACGCCAACCCCAUUCGGAGAGAGGAGCCGCCGCCGCCGUCGGUGAGUUCGCCGCCGCCGUCGGUGAGUUCGCCGUCGCUAGCACGGCAAGGGAGACAAUCCCCGGCCGUCUCAGACUCCGGAUUCCGUCCGCCAACCACCACAAGAGAGAUGGAGCCGUCUAGGGCUGGUGAUUUCAACCGAUUCAUGCACGAUUCGGAGGGGCAGCCAAGCUUCAUGCACUCCUCUACUCAGCCGCCGCCAUUUCCCCCACCAUAUCCGGCAUUCCCAUUCGCACAUCCUUCAUUUCCCGUGUUCUGUACCCAGCCGGCUGCACCUCAAGCAGUGCCGCAAGGGGCGACGGUCCAAGGUAACGGUGGUGGUACUUCCGGUGCCGGUGGUAGUAGCAGCGGUGGACGCACUCGCCGUGUGGUGGCAACCCCUGAAGUCGGCGAAGAUGCUAGAAGCAACAGAAUGUAUUACACUCAUGAAGAGGAUUUAAGGCUGGUUAGUGCCUGGUUGAAUAACUCCACCGAUCCAAUUAAGGGGAAUGCAAGAAAAGGUGAAACGUACUGGGCAAAGGUGGCUGAAACUUACAAUUCCACUACCCCGGAUGAUAGGAAGCGUGAGAUGCAUCACUUGAAGGGUCACUGACACAAGACAUCGAAGAAGGUCUCUUAUUUCAACGGAUGUUACGUUCAGCUCCGGGAUUCAUAUGCAAGCGGAAGGAGCGACGAUCAACUAAUGGAUCAAGCAUUGGAGUUGUAUCGUUCUCUCAAAGGGCAGCCAUUCACUUAUCAACAUUGUUGGAAGGCAGUGGCGGACUCGCUGAAGUGGAAUGCCUAUGUAUCCUGCAGCGGUGAAGGUCCAAGAAAGCGCACUCCUGACCUCAAUAUGAAUGCCGAACCAAUGGUGCGGCCUAUCGGUGUUAAACGUGCUAAGAAGGGGAAGGUAUCGGGGGAGGUUCCUUUGGAGGUACGGGACCAAUUGAAGACCCUUGUGGAUGCUUGCGAGUCCCAAAAGGAAGGAAUAGAGGACAUGAAAGAAUUUCAGACAAAGAUGGCUGAGCAUCGGGUCGAGGCCGCGGCAUGGAACUUCAAGGCUGUUCAUGAGAAGGAGGCCAAAGUACUUGAGCACAAGAACUUCUUGCUUGGGAAGUUUACGGAGCUGUUGCAGAUUGACACCUCAAAGAUGGAAGCGUGGGCUAAGGAUGCACAUCCGAGGGCUGUCAAUAACCUCUCUGCUCAGAUUUGGGGCGGUGUGGGCAGUGCCGACGCCGUUUAGUGCACCGCCUGCAGGCAAGAAUAUUUUUUGAGUUGAUCCAUAUGAAUUGGUCAACUGCCCCAACAAGGACGGACCAUGUUUUGCCUUGUUUCAGCUGAUCAAGUGGACCUUUUGGUGGCAUCUUUUGGGUGGAGGCAAGAAAAACAGGGCAGAUGGCUGAUUGUGGUUUUUCUGAUAAAGUGGACCUUUUGCUGAUCAAGUGGACCUUUUCGGGAUGUUUGCGAGGAUUUUGUUGAUGGAUACCCUUGCGGUCGACGGAGCUGCUCCAUGUCGAGGCGUGCACUGGAGUUGGUACUGCUUUCAGCCAUGGUGAAAUAGGCAACUGUUGAACUGGGCCUUGCAUUGGCCGAGCGUAUUGGUCCUCCGUAAAUGUGAUAUAUUGUGUAGGGGCUAUAGCACAUAGGACAUUUAAAUUUGUAGGUGGUUGUGACAACCUGUGACACGAGAGUUUGAUGACUGUCAUGUUAUCUGUGUGAUACAAGCAAGAUAUUUUUUAUCCAUGGCUAUGUUGAGUCAUUUGCUGGCAUGUUAUAAGCUGAUCUUAUGCAUGUACUCA